GGAUUAUAGCUCAGUGGUAGAGCACUUGCCUCCCAUGUGCAAGACCCUGGGUUCGAUCCUCAGCACCA
rnacentral:tRNA from 1 species